GGCUGCACCCGCAGCACAUGGAGGUUACCAAGCUAAGGGUCUAGUCGGAGCUACAGCUGCCAGCCUACGCCAGAGCCACAGAAACACAAGAUGUGAGCCGAAUCUGCGACCUACACCACAGCUCACAGCAACGCCAGAUCCUUAACCCACUGAGCAAGGCCAGGGUUUGAACCUGCAACCUCUUGGUUCCUAGUCGGAGUCAUUAACCACUGCGCCAUGAUGGGAACUCCCUAUUUCUUUCUUUCUUUCUUUCUUUCUUCCUCUCCUUCUUUCACAGCUCCCAUGGCAUUCAGAAUUCCUGGGCCAGGGAUCAAACCCAUAACACAGCAGUGACAAUGGCAGAUCCUUAGCCACUAGACCACCAGGAAAUUCCCAAAGCUGGCAACAUUUAUACUUUUUAGACAAAGAAAGAAAACAUUGGUGAGGAAUUGACAGGACAAAGAAACGCAGGGGGCGUUUCUUUCAUAUGAGAGAUUUAUUUCCUGCUUCAGGGAGACAGAUGAAAGUCAAGAAUUUUCUUCUUGCUUCUGCUGCAUCUCAAGCAACUUCAGCUUGAACUACUCAAGAUACCAUUGUAGCAUAUUUUGGGAUACCCCAACCCUGAUCCCCAAGAAUGGCACCUAAAAGAAGUCAGGACAUAAUACAUAUUCACUCACGAUUCUUCAAUCAGAAUUUGAAUCAUUUAUUGGAAUAAAGAGUUUAUUUUAUUUUGUUUUGCCACACCCAUGGCAUACAGAAAUUCCCAGGCUAGGGUUCAAAUCAGAGCUGCAGCUGCUGGCCUAUGCCACAGCCACAGCAAUGUGGGAUCUGAGCUGUGUCUGCCGGCUUGAGGCAAUGCCAGAUUCUUAAUCCACUGAGUGAGGCCAGGGACCGAGUUGCACCCUCAUGGUUACUAAUCAAAUUCAUUUCCACUGAACCACAAAGGGAACUCCUAUUUUUAUGACUCACUUUUUUAAAAUAAUUGAGUGUUGUAGAUUCUAUUAAAUGGAAAUUUAAAAGUCCCCUACAAAGGGACACAGAGGCAUACAACCCCUGUUUCACCUUUUGUCUAGUCCUAUAAGACAUCACUGGAAGGAGUGAAAGGACAGGCAGGAAAGUGACCAGCGUGUGCAAGACCUAUUGCCCACAUCCUGUUUCUGAGAACCAGGGAAGGGUCUAGUCAACAUCUAACAGAGAUUUUUUUUUUUCUCAUAGCCUAUUCUGUGCCAGGCGAGGAGAGGCUCUGAGAAGUCAGAAAUGAAUGAGACUUAGAGGUUCAGCUCCAGGCAUUCAGAAUCUACUUAUGCAAAGACAAAAUUAAAAUGCUCUCUCUGGAUCCAGAGAAAUUAAACUUCAAAUUACAGGACAUUUUCUUUGAAAAUAUGUUACUUAGCCAUGAUGAUGAUGAUGAUGGUGAAAAUAAUACCUAAGAUUUACUUUACUCUUACUAUAAUGCAUCCAUCACAUAUUUAUUCAUAUGCUUAGUACCAAUUUUGUUUCAUUCUGGCUCAACACACUUGUAUCAAUGGACUAUCACUUUAGAUGAUAAUGUUGAGACUUGAAGAUAUUAAGAACUUUCCCAGUAUCAUUCAGAUAAUAAGUAGAAGAAGCAUGUUUCAAAAUUAAAUUGUGGGCCUCUCAGGUUCAUGCCCUGAACUCGUCCACUCUUUUUCCCCACACUUGAGAGAGGAAAGCAGAGGUUCAGAAGUCUAUUCUGGUCUUUUCUGCCUAAGACUAGAACCCAACACCCUGACUCUAUAUUCCCCUAGAGAUCAAGAGGGUAUAAAUUACAAAAAUAAAGGAGGAAGUGGACAGUGAAGCAAAGCCCGAUAGAAGAAACGAGAGAGAGAACUGCUCUGAAUUGUCAUGAGCUGAUUCUUUCUAGGAUCCCCUCCUUCAACUCAGCCAUCCUUCUUAGAGUUAAUGGAUCAGUUGCUUCCCAUGCCCUCUACUGUGGUCCUCCAAGAACCCCCAAAGGGAAGAGCACAGUGAGCAGGGUCUCUGCCUGGGAUGAAAAGGAAGAGAGUUUGCUUUUUGCUAUGUUUUUGUUUGUUAUGGCUUGAUAAAACUUCUUAAAUAUGUCCCAAAUCUUCAACAUAUUUCAAGUAUUGAUUUCUCAUCAAAUCCACCCUUCUUAUGAACAGCUGAGACAUUUAGGAUCAAAGCCAGAUCUCAAACACUAAGUUGGCCUUUUUUUAUGGUAACUUGAGUGAACUUCAAGUCAAUUCUUCCUUAUAGAGGAAAAAGCAUGUCUCCUCCUAAAUUCAGUUCCCUGAAUGCAGACUGUGUCAGCAGGAGAGAGGACUGUGUAGGUGCCUAUGAAUGGAGUUUCACUGUCUGCAUUCAAAUUGAACUUUACCCAUUUUCUACCCCCAGGGCCUGAGAAAACUACUUUAAAACACUGUGGUCCCACCCUCAGCUGUAAAGUAGUGGUAACAGAUAAAAGUAGACAAGCUACAUAAAAACCUUAUCUCAGCACCUGGCACUUGAAAUCACUACAUAAAGGCUUGUGAUAUUUGGAUUACCAUCAUCAUUUUCAUCUUUACCAUCUUCAUGAUCAAAUGGAGCACUUAGGAGUGAGUUUAGAACCACCUAUUUUCUGUACAGGUAGAAAAGAUGCCAAUGGAAGAGAGGAGCACUGUGAGGGGAAAACAGAAAUUUAAAUAAAAUUUCUGGGAUCCCCACCAGUCCCCCAAACCUCAGUUUCAUAGGUGUCUGAGCUGAAUCUGCAUUUUUCUAUACCUUCUGCCCUUCCCAACUGUCUGCUGGUUUGAGGAUGAGAACACAAGGCUCUCCCAACCUUUCCUGCAUUCAGUGUCUCCCAGGGCACCUGGCUUUCCUUGUGUUGUGUCUCUGCUGGAGCAGGACUGAGGAAGGCCCAUGGCCUGCCCCUCCCCUACCUGGUGUUGGAUGCAGGCUGAGGCUUUGUCCUCGGGACUGGCAGGAAGAGAGACCCAGGUAUGACCUCCUGGUACAGACAAACGUGGGGAGAGGAGGCAAACACAUAUGGAUCUCAUUGGACUGGAGCUGGCUAGAUGAAGGCCUAAGAAGCACAUUCUGAUUAUUUACAGUGUAAUGACCUUGAGACCUCAAGUCAUGACACAGAUAAUUAGCCAGAUUGGUCCAUGGUCUCUCAAUCUCUGAGGAUUUGCUAACUUAAUGGUAGAGGAAUAGGUAAAAAAAUGAAUGCAUUUGGAAUGCCCUAAGCUCUUACCCUUCUCAGGAGGAGGUUGACUUCUAAGUUAGGUAUCUUGUCAUUAAACACAGACACAUUUUAAUUAAUUAGAAAAUGUAAUAUGUACUUUUAUAUCUGCAAAUCCAUUGAAUUUGUCACGUAAUUUAGAGAGAUACAGGUGUUCCACCCCAAGAGUCUGACAGUAUUUCCAUUUUUUUAGUUAAGAUUUAUGUCUCUGGGAACUUCCUAUUUUUCUUUAGGUAUCCCUGGUUUGGGAUUUGAAUUUAUUGGAUAUUUAUUGAUUUUGCUAUUUCCAAUGACAGUUCAAAUUCUAGUUUUAACUUUAUUAGAAUGUUAGAUUCUAAGUUCUAAUUAAUUUAAAAUUUGAGCUCUAAUGUAUCUGCUUAUUUUAUGUUUGCUGUUACAUUUCACAAGUGGGUGUAUUGACAUAUUUCUCUGGUAACUUGCUAGCUUGCUUUCACACUUCAAGGGGGCUCAGAGACCUCUACAUUCAAAAUGUCAACCAGGACUGCAGUGCUGUCAUUCUGUGAGUAGAAGAGUGUCUGAUUCCAAAUUCACUUACAUGGUUGUUGAUAGGAUUGAUUUAUUUGAAGACCAGAGGAUUCCCUUAGUUUCUGACCAAGUAGGCUUCUGACAACAUGGCAGCUGGCUUGCAUCAUGGGUGAGCUGGUGAUACUGGCAAGGCGAAAGCAGGAUUUUUCUAAACACUAGUGGUGGACUGGACAGCCCAGUACUUUUACCAUUUCUACACAUUGGAAUAAAGUCACUGUGUCCAGUCCACACUCAAGGAUACAGGUAUAUACAAGACCACGAAUACAGGUGGGAUGGUUCAUUGGGAGCACACCUGGACCUACCCACCACAUAGUCCUGACCCUCUAUCAGGACAGUUGACUCUAAGAAAACAUAUUAUAGGGAGGAGGGAAAGAUGGCAGAGGGGCAGGACGUGGAUCACAACUUCUUCCAAAAAUACAUCAAAAACACAUCUACAUGUGGAGUGAUUCUCACAGAACAUCUACUGAACACUGGCAGAAGUUUUCAGACUUCCAAAAGGGAAAGACAAUUUCCAGGUAAGUGGGUAGGACAAAAGGGAAAAAGAAAAAAGAGAGAGAUAAAGGAAUUGGGACAGACUCUGGGAGGAAGCUGUGAAAGAGGAAAUCUUUCCAUGCAUGGGAAGACCCUUCACUGGUGGGGAGAUCCAUGGGAACAGAGGGGGAGUUUUGGAACCUUAGAGCAGAUUGUAGCCACUUGUUUGGGAAGGGAAAGCCAGAGAAAGACCUGCACAGAGGGUCAGUGCUUCCACCUGGCACACCCCAGCCUGAGAUGCUCAUCUGCUUGGGUAGGCAGGGGCUUGGUGCUGAGGCUCAGGCUUUGGGGGUAAUAUUUGGGGAGAGACUGGUGUUGGCUGCUUAGAGACAACCUGUGGGAGCUAGGGUGUAGUGCAUUAUAACUGAGCAAGUGUGGGAAGAAGCCUGGGUCCACCAGAGAGGCAGGGUGCCUUUGGGGGCAUGAGAGGGGAGGGAUGGCACCACCAUAGAUCUUUCUUUUUCUUUUUCUUUUUUUUUUUUUUUUUUUGUCUUUUUCGCCAUUUCUUGGGCCGCUCCUGCGGCAUAUGGAGGUUCCCAGGCCAGGGGUCGAAUCGGAGCUGUAGCUGCCGGCCUACGCCAGAGCCACAGCAACGCAGGAUCCGAGCCACGUCUGCGACCUACACCACAGCUCACGGCAACGCCGGAUCCUUAACCCACUGAGCAAGGGCAGGGACCGAACCCGCAACCUCAUGGUUCCUAGUCGGAUUCGCUAACCACUGCGCCACAAUGGGAACUCCAGAUCUUUCUUUUUCCAUGCACAGGCUCAGGCUGAAAGGCACCCCCCCUUUUUUUUCUUUUUAGGGCUGCACCCAUAGCAUAUGGAAGUUCCCAGACUAGGGGUCAAAUCAGAGCUGCGGCUGCUGGCCUACGCCACAGCCACGGCAACACCAGAUCUGAGCUGCAUCUGCAAUCUACACUGCAGCUCAAAGCAACACUGGCUCCUUAACCCACUUAGCAAGGCCAGGGAUUGAACCAGUGUCUUCAUGGCUACUAGUCAGGUUCAUAUCCCACUGAACCAUCACAGGAACUCCUACAAGGCACCACUUGCAUGAGCUCUGGCGGGGUGGGGUUUCACUGGUGACAUGUCAGGCUCCAGAGCAGGUAUAGGCCAUUGCCUCCACUGAGGGUCUCACUGCCAUGCCCCUACCUUCCUGGAAGUGUACGUGUGGACCAUGGCUGCCUCUCCCCCAGAGGGACCCACCACCACCAGGCAUCAACCCCUCCCCUUGCCUUCCUGGGAGUACAUAUAGUCCACCACCACCAAGAUUCCCACAGCUGCACACCAACCUCUGCCUAUGACUCCCUGGGAGUGUUCGUGGCCCACUGCUGUCUCUGCCAAGGGACCCACAGCCAAACACUGACCAUUGCCUCCACCUUCCCAGGAGCUUGUGUGGCUCCCAGUCAUCACCAAUGAUCCCAUGGCUGCCAACAUCUGUCCUUGCUUCCCUGGGAGUGUGUGUGACCCACUGUCACAGCGGCUAAAGGGCCCAUCACCAGUUGAGAACAGGUGGUUGCCACUGGACUCCAGGAGGGGUUGCACAAGGCACUGCCACCUCCCUUGGAGACUCAAUCACCAGCCAUCAUCCAGCUCCAGGAACAAUCGUGAACCACUGCUGCUCCCAUCACAUGUGAGGCACAUGUGAGGCACCACCACUACUGAGAACACUAGGACUGGGCACCAGCCACCACAUCAGCACAUCUACUCUCAGGGGGAUAAUGACCAGCACAAGCUGAGGAAAGAGGUGACAGGCACCCAUACUAAAAUAUCCUGUGACUAAGGGGGAAGAGCUGAAAUCUCUCUUCCUAACUGUGUGAACCACUGGUUUUAAGUCUCUGCUGCUUGGCUUCUAAAUUCAGCACAGGUGGAUUUCUCAUUGUGGCUCAGUGGCAACAAAAGAGACUAGUAUCCAUGAGGAUCGGGUUCAGCCCCUGGCCCCACUCAGGCGAAAUAAAGAUCCAACGUGGCCAUGAGUUGCAGUGUAGGUGCCAGAUUUGGCUUGGAUCUGGUGUUGCUGUGGCUAUGGUGUAGGCCAGCAGCUGCAGCCCCAAUU
rnacentral:lncRNA from 1 species